rnacentral:rRNA from 1 species
UGGGGAAUAUUGCACAAUGGGCGCAAGCCUGAUGCAGCAACGCCGCGUGAGGGAUGACGGCCUUCGGGUUGUAAACCUCUUUUAGCAGGGAAGAAGCGAAAGUACGGUACCUGCAGAAAAAGCACCGGCUAACUACGUGCCAGCAGCCGCGGUAAUACGUAGGGUGCAAGCGUUGUCCGGAAUUAUUGGGCGUAAAGAGCUCGUAGGCGGUCUGUCGCGUCUGCUGUGAAAUCCCGAGGCUCAACCUCGGGCCUGCAGUGGGUACGGGCAGACUAGAGUGCGGUAGGGGAGAAUGGAACUCCUGGUGUAGCGGUGGAAUGCGCAGAUAUCAGGAAGAACACCGAUGGCGAAGGCAGUUCUCUGGGCCGUAACUGACGCUGAGGAGCGAAAGCGUGGGGAGCGAACAGGAUUAGAUACCCUGGUAGUCCACGCCGUAAACGUUGGGCGCUAGAUGUGGGGACCAUUCCACGGUUUCCGUGUCGCAGCUAACGCAUUAAGCGCCCCGCUGGGGAGUACGGCCGCAAGGCUAAAAACUCAAAGGAAUUGACGGGGUCAUAGCUGUUUCCUG